rnacentral:rRNA from 1 species
AUUGAACGCUGGCGGCAUGCCUUACACAUGCAAGUCGAACGGUAACGCGGGGCAACCUGGCGACGAGUGGCGAACGGGUGAGUAAUGCAUCGGAACGUGCCCAGUAGUGGGGGAUAGCCCGGCGAAAGCCGGAUUAAUACCGCAUACGACCUACGGGUGAAAGCGGGGGACCGCAAGGCCUCGCGCUAUUGGAGCGGCCGAUGUCAGAUUAGGUUGUUGGUGAGGUAAAGGCUCACCAAGCCGACGAUCUGUAGCUGGUCUGAGAGGACGACCAGCCAAACUGGGACUGAGACACGGCCCAGACUCCUACGGGAGGCAGCAGUGGGGAAUUUUGGACAAUGGGCGCAAGCCUGAUCCAGCCAUGCCGCGUGCGGGAAGAAGGCCUUCGGGUUGUAAACCGCUUUUGUCGGGGAAGAAAUCUUCUGGGCUAAUACCCCGGGAGGAUGACGGUACCCGAAGAAUAAGCACCGGCUAACUACGUGCCAGCCGCCGCAGUAAAAC